rnacentral:misc_RNA from 1 species
UCUCCGUUAGUGAACCAGCGGAGGGAUCAUUACCGAGUUUACAACCCCCAAACCCAAUGUGAACCAUACCAAACUGUUGCCUCGGCGGGGUCACGCCCCGGGUGCGUCGCAGCCCCGGAACCAGGCGCCCGCCGGAGGGACCAACCAAACUCUUUCUGUAGUCCCCUCGCGGACGUUAUUUUUACAGCUCUGAGCAAAAAUUCAAAAUGAAUCAAAACUUUCAACAACGGAUCUCUUGGUUCUG